rnacentral:lncRNA from 1 species
CCGGUGUCUAAAUUGCCUGCCUUAACCCAAGGCUCUUCGAAAUGCAGCAGGUAAUGAAAAUACACAAUGACAGGACAAGGUAAAAGGAUCGUGUCAGUGGCUGGGUGAGGACAUUCUCUUUAUAACUUCCAAUCUCCUGCUGAAACCAAUGGAAGCCAGAAGCAAAGAGACUGUUAUCCUCAUGGGAUCAUGAAGACGAGGGAGACAAGCCAGCACAGAGACAGACCCGGAGCUUGGAAGGUACAGACAGCAAGCAAGCAAGGCCCAGAAGAAGGACCAGGGCAACUGCUCUUCAGGAAACUGGUCAGAUCAUCAGAAAAUGGCCUGAUGGUGAAACUGUGGCUCUAUUACUUUGACUUGGGGCGCAGCAUGCAGACAUAUCUGCAGCAUGAAGCUCCUCCAGAACCAGACAACCUGAAUCUACAAGGCAAGGACUUGUUCAAACCAACAAAUCAAUCUUCCAUGUGAAGCUCUGGGGCUUUGCCUUUGUAAGCCCCUCCCUUGCCUUGGCCAGACAGUCUUCACCAGAGCUGCUCCUUUUUGU